rnacentral:rRNA from 1 species
AUUCCAGCUCCAAUAGCGUAUAUUAAAGUUGUUGCAGUUAAAAAGCUCGUAGUUGGAUUUCUGGGAGGGUGCCAAUGUCCGUCGUCGUACGUGUUGCAGCGGCGCCCUUCCAUCCUUCUGUUAACGACUUUGGGCAUUCACUUGCCGGAGUCGGGCUCAGAUAUUUUACCUUGAGAAAAUUAGAGUGUUUCAGGCAGGCUAGGCCGGAAUACAUUAGCAUGGAAUAAUGGAAUAGGACUACGGUCUCUUUGUUGGUUUGAGGGACUGCAGUAAUGAUUAACAGGGACGGUUGGGGUUCUUCGUAUUCAAUUGUCAGAGGUGAAAUUCUUGGAUUUAUGGAAGACGAACUGCUGCGAAAGCGUCGAACAAGGACGUUCUCAUUG